rnacentral:rRNA from 1 species
UACGUAGGGAGCAAGCGUUGUCCGGAAUCAUUGGGCGUAAAGCGCGCGUAGGCGGCCCGAUAAGUCCGCUGUAAAAGUCAACGGCUCAACUGUUGAAAGCCGGUGGAUACUGGCGAGCUAGAGUACGGUAGAGGAUGGUGGAAUUCCCGGUGUAGCGGUGAAAUGCGUAGAGAUCGGGAGGAACACCCGUGGCGAAGGCGGCCAUCUGGACCAGUACUGACGCUGAGGCACGAAAGCGUGGGGAGCAAACAGG